rnacentral:rRNA from 1 species
AUUGAACGCUGGCGGCAUGCUUUACACAUGCAAGUCGGACGGCAGCACAGAGAAGCUUGCUUCUUGGGUGGCGAGUGGCGAACGGGUGAGUAACAUAUCGGAACGUACCGAGCAGUGGGGGAUAACUAAUCGAAAGAUUAGCUAAUACCGCAUAUUUUCUGAGGAAGAAAGCAGGGGACCAUUGGGCCUUGCGCUGUUUGAGCGGCCGAUAUCUGAUCAGCUAGUUGGUGGGGUAAAGGCCUACCAAGGCGACGAUCAGUAGCGGGUCUGAGAGGAUGAUCCGCCACACUGGGACUGAGACACGGCCCAGACUCCUACGGGAGGCAGCAGUGGGGAAUUUUGGACAAUGGGCACAAGCCUGAUCCAGCCAUGCCGCGUGUCUGAAGAAGGCCUUCGGGUUGUAAAGGACUUUUGUCAGGGAAGAAAAGGGCGGGGUUAAUACCCC